CUUAUAUUCAAACUUCGAAUUUAAAAAGAGCAAUUGUGAUUCAUGUCUUUUCUAUAAUGGUGUAUGUGGUUAUAAAUAUAUUUAUCAGCUUCAAUAGGUUAAUGAUAUGUUGUUAGCAUGGUAUGAUGGGAAAGAAAUAGGUACAAUAAAAUCAAAAUUGAAAUCUGAAUUUGAGAAGGAAGAUCUAAUACAAGCAAAGAGAGAAUUUUAGGUAUGAAAAUUAGAAGAGAUAUAAAGAAUUGUAUUAUUUAUCUAAAUUAAUGUUAACAUGUAACCAAAGUGUCCAAAAAGUUUUUUAUGUCGGAUAUCGAACCUGUUUUUUUCUGUUUUUAACUAAUCAUUUUAAACUUUUUAAUGAACAAUUUGUAUAAGAUUGAUAAAAAAUUUGAUAGGAUGAAUAAAAUACCCGAUACUAAUACAAUUGGUUCUAUAACGUACCUUAAUUUGUAUAAGACAUGAGUGGGAUAAUCAUUUUAAGCAGGUUUAUGGCAAAUUCAUAUGAGAUACAGUGGAUAUCUAUAAAGUUGAUACUUAGAUACUUGAGAAGUUCACUUGAUUUGGGGUUAAAUUUUAAAAAACUUGAUGAAAGUAUUAUCUUGAAAUGUUACACUAACUUUGAUUUUGCAGGUGAUUUGGAUAAAAGAAAGUCCACUUCAUCUUAUAUUUUUGCACUUUGUGAUGGGAGUAUUAGUUGAAAAUUUUUUCUACCGAAGAUUGUAUUUUUAUCUUCAAUAGAGAUUGAAUAUAUGGCAGCAGCAUGCGAUGCUGUAAAAGGACUUUGGUUAAGGGAUUAUUUAGGGAAAUUGGAUUUAUUGAUAAAGUUGUUAGGUUAUAUAUAUAGAUAAUCAAAUUGAAAUUCCUUUAAGCAAUGAUCCUAUCAUGAUAAUAGAAAAAAGCGUGCUAUCAAAUUUUAUUUUGUCAAAAACAUGAUUGAGAAAUGUAUGAUUACAUUGGUUACAAUUCGAACCCAAUGUUUUCCAUUGAAUAAAUUUAGGAAUUGUUUAGGUUUUUAAAAUAUUACAAAUACGUAAUUUUCUUAUAAACAAUUUGUUUGUUCUAUAAAAUUGUUUGUUCUAUAAAGCUUUUUAAAAACCCUUGUUUUUUUUCCUCUCUAAUUUUGUUUUUACUGGUAUAGUGGAGAAAAAGAAAUAAUGGCAGGAGAAGUUCUUAGUACUAGAAUUGGGUAAAUAGUUCGGCAAUGUGGAGGCGGUUGUUGUGUGCUCACAGUUGACCAUUUGACUUGACAUCGAUGAAAAUGUGUUUUAUCAAAUCGCAUCCUUUGCUUUGUUAAAUGGAUUUAUCUUGGUCCUAGACGUGGAUUACUUCAUACAAACCGUUGAAGUAAACAAGAGCUUAAUAAAGAAAACAAUUAGAAGGAUCAAAUGUUCAAUUUAGCAAAACUCAAACUAUUGGAUAUCCGAUUGGAGUGUGAGACUAAAAAUGGUAAGUUGGAGAACAUAAUUGAAAAAUUAGCUCACUUGAUUUUAUGUAAUUCUAGAGUUCAGAUUCAUGCAAUGAUCAGGUUUCACUAAAAAGUUAGAUUAAAAUCGAAGUCAAAAUCAACAAUUAAGUUUAGCCAUACAUUAAAUUGGACCACAAUUUUUC
rnacentral:lncRNA from 1 species